rnacentral:rRNA from 1 species
ACGUAGGAGGCUAGCGUUAUCCGGAUUUACUGGGCGUAAAGCGCGUGCAGGUGGUCUUGUAAGUUGGAUGUGAAAGCUCCUGGCUUAACUGGGAGAGGUCGUUCAAAACUGCAAGACUUGAGAUUGGUAGAGGGAGGUGGAAUUCCAGGUGUAGCGGUGAAAUGCGUAGAUAUCUGGAAGAACACCAGUGGCGAAGGCGGCUCUCUGGCCUAGAACUGACGCUGAAGCGCGAAAGCGUGGGGAGCGAACAG